UGGGGAAUAUUGGACAAUGGGCGCAAGCCUGAUCCAGCCAUGCCGCGUGUGUGAAGAAGGCCUUUUGGUUGUAAAGCACUUUAAGCGAGGAGGAGGCUACUUGGAUUAAUACUCUAGGAUAGUGGACGUUACUCGCAGAAUAAGCACCGGCUAACUCUGUGCCAGCAGCCGCGGUAAUACAGAGGGUGCGAGCGUUAAUCGGAUUUACUGGGCGUAAAGCGUGCGUAGGCGGCUUCUUAAGUCGGAUGUGCAAUCCCUGAGCUUAACUUAGGAAUUGCAUUCGAUACUGGGAAGCUAGAGUAUGGGAGAGGAUGGUAGAAUUCCAGGUGUAGCGGUGAAAUGCGUAGAGAUCUGGAGGAAUACCGAUGGCGAAGGCAGACAUAUGGCAUAAGACUGACGCUGAGGUACGAAAGCAUGGGGAGCAAACAGG
rnacentral:rRNA from 1 species